GACAGAGGGGGCAAGCGUUGCUCGGAAUCACUGGGCGUAAAGGGCGCGUAGGCGGGAUGGCAAGUCAGUCGUGAAAUCUCUCGGCUCAACCGAGAAACGUCGGCUGAUACUGCCGUUCUUGAGGGAUGCAGAGGAGACUGGAAUUCCCGGUGUAGCGGUGAAAUGUGUAGAGAUCGGGAGGAACACCGGUGGCGAAGGCGGGUCUCUGGGCAUUUCCUGACGCUGAGGUGCGAAAGCGUGGGGAGCAAACAGG
rnacentral:rRNA from 1 species